rnacentral:rRNA from 1 species
AUUGAACGCUGGCGGCAGGCUUAACACAUGCAAGUCGAGCGAGCGGCGGACGGGUGAGUAAUGUCUGGGAAACUGCCUGAUGGAGGGGGAUAACUACUGGAAACGGUAGCUAAUACCGCAUACCAUCAGAUGUGCCCAGAUGGGAUUAGCUAGUAGGGGGGGUAAUGGCUCACCUAGGCGACGAUCCCUCGCUGGUCUGAGAGGAUGACCAGCCAUCCUGGAAAGUGGACAAGGUCCAGACUCCUACGGGAGGCAGCAGUGGGGAAUAUUGCACAAUGGGCGCAAGCCUGAUGCAGCCAUGCCGCGGGUGUGAAGAAGGCCUUCGGAUUGUAAAGCACUUUAAGUUGGGAGGCGUUACCAACAGAAUAAGCACCGGCUAACUUCGUGCCAGCAGCCGCGGUAAUAC